GACGAACGCUGGCGGCGCGCUUAACACAUGCAAGUCGAGCGAAGCGGCGGACGGGUGAGUAACACGUGAGUAACCUGCCUUAGACAUUGGGAUAGCCUCGGGAAACCGGGAUUAAUACCAAAUGGUCUAAGAUGGACUCGCGUCCCAUUAGCGAGUUGGUGAGGUAACGGCCCACCAAGGCGACGAUGGGUAGCCGGCCGGAGAGGGUGAACGGCCACAUGUGAACUGAUAAACGGUCCAAACUCUACGGGUGGCAGCAGUGGGGAAUAUUCCACAAUGGAGGGAACUCUGAUGCAGCGACGCCGCGUGAACGAAGAAGUCUUUCGAGUCGUAAAGUUCUUUUAUAUGGGAAGCGGUACCAUAAGAAAAAGCCCCGGCUAACUACGUGCCAGCAGCCGCGGUAAUAC
rnacentral:rRNA from 1 species